rnacentral:rRNA from 1 species
UACAGAGGGUGCAAGCGUUAAUCGGAUUUACUGGGCGUAAAGCGUGCGUAGGCGGCUAUUUAAGUCGGAUGUGAAAGCCCUGGGCUCAACCUGGGAACUGCAUUCGAUACUGGGUAGCUGGAGAUCGGUAGAGGGCGGCGGAAUUCCGGGUGUAGCGGUGAAAUGCGUAGAUAUCCGGAGGAACACCGAUGGCGAAGGCAACCGCCUGGGCCUGAUCUGACGCUGAGGCACGAAAGCGUGGGGAGCAAACAGG